AUUGAACGCUGGCGGCGUGCUUAACACAUGCAAGUCGAUCGGUAACGCGGGGGCAACCCUGGCGACGAGAGGCGGACGGGUGAGGAACGCUUGGGAAUCUGCCUAUCAGCGGGGGACAACACGGGGAAACUCGUGCUAAUACCGCAUACGCUCUACGGAGGAAAGCCGGGGACCGCAAGGCCUGGCACUGAUAGAUGAGCCCAAGCCGGAUUAGCUAGUUGGCGGGGUAACGGCCCACCAAGGCGACGAUCCGUAGCUGGUCUGAGAGGACGAUCAGCCACACUGGGACUGAGACACGGCCCAGACUCCUACGGGAGGCAGCAGUGGGGAAUAUUGGACAAUGGGGGAAACCCUGAUCCAGCGACGCCGCGUGGGUGAAGAAGGCCUGCGGGUUGUAAAGCCCUUUCGGUAGGGACGAAAGCUCUCGACCUAACACGUCGGGAGGUUGACUUAACCUACAAAAGAAGCACCGGCUAACUCUGUGCCAGCCGCCGCAGUAAUAC
rnacentral:rRNA from 1 species